GCCGGCCUAGCUCAAUUGGGAGAGCAACUGACUUGUAAUCAGUAGGUUGGGGGUUCAAGUCCUCUGGCCGGCACCA
rnacentral:tRNA from 2 species